UGUAGCAGGUUACUUCUAAGAUUGUAUGUUAGAUUUAGCAAAUGUUUGAUAUCUAGUAGCCAGUGAUGAACAAAUUGUGUCAUUAAACAAAACAAACUUGCAUUGUAUUAUACAACUGUCCAAUAGUAUAUUUGGAAUAUGAUACUCACUUCCAAAUUUCUUUUAAAAAUCUAUCCUGUAUCUAAAAUUCAUAUUGAUAUGUUGUUUUUGGGGUGGGCAACAGCUCUGCAAUACAAUAUGAGGUAAACUAAAGCCUAUGGCAUGUGUUGUCUUGUAUGUGUCACAGUGCAUAAAAUAUCACUUGUCAAUUGAUACAAAUCAAAUACAGUAUCAUGUAGGUGCUGCUUUUGUGUGUUUAAAAUAAGAGUAAACACUACUUCCCUGUUGUUGCUUUUAACAGAAGUGGGGGUAGGGUGUAGUAUAAUAGUGCCACGUAACUAUCUUAUUUAAAAAUGCAUACAUUCAUGGAAGUAAUGGAAUUUCAUAACUAAUAAGUCCAUUUUUCAUUUUAGAUUUGUGUAGAUGGCCACGAGAUGAACAGAUGGUGUUCACAACCUUUGCUGACAAGAGGUGCCUUGCAGGGCAAUAUACUGUUUUCGUCAGCGAUAGUUCUUUCCGGAAAUAACUACACCAAAAUAGCCCUAAUGUGCAAGUUCCUAAAUUUAGGCAUGGUGUCAAGCUCCACAUUUCAUAGGAUUCAAAACACAAUAUCAUCCCAGCUAUCACAACAUAUUGGGAAGCUACAUGUGGUGUUAUUGAAAGUAUUCAAGGGAAGGUUGUAAUUAUUGCAGGUAAGAAAAACCGUGAUCGGCACUUAAUUAUUAAAAUAUUUAGAUGGACUAACAACUUCGUGUUUUUGUUGAAAUCUAUUCUUUUAUGAGCAAUGUCUUCAAUCCUGGUCCAAUUCAGAUCUCAUCAGAGUAAAUAUUUACUGUGGACCAACUUACUGAGAUACACAUACCAAUCUGAAUAAAUGAAGUGCAUGUAUAAAUAUUUGGUGCUUAUUGUUGCUUCCAAUUUGUAUAGGUGAUGGCAGGAAUGACGGCCCAGGAUACUGUGCAAAAUACUGCACGUAUAUCCUGGACAUGGUUGUGGUGGAUAAGCGAGAAACUGAAAAAAAUUCUGCCAGAAUGGAACCAAAAGCAUCUGAAACCAUCAUGGGACAUCCGUCAUCCCAGGGUACCAGUACAAGGAGGUUGUGACUGAUGCUCAUCCCUCAAUAUCCUCUAUAAUUAGAAGACACGGUGUCCAAACAAAACACAGCUAUGACAUGUGGCAUGGUAGCAAGAAUCUUGGGAAGAAGUUGGCAACGGUUGCAUUAAAAAAAGGAUGCAGGGAUCUUCUGCCUUGGGUUGGGGAUAUCACAAACCAUUUCUGGUACUGUGCCCGCUCAUGUCAAGGACACACAGAGACAAUGAUGGUAUGUUUUUGGGGUUUUUUUUUUAGUUUAUAUAAAUAUGCACAUUAAUUAACAAAGCAGUUAUAAAUAAAUGGUCUCAGUACAUGGUAAAGUAAAAACAAACUGAUGAAAUUGUGUUGAAUGUGACCUACAAUUGUUUUCCAACACUGUUUACAAACUAUUUUAACAAAACACUGAUAAAUUAAUUUUGUUGAACUAUACCAAUGUACAUUGUUUAAUCAUUGGCUAUUAAAAACAUUUGUAAAUCCAUGUUCUGCAGAAUAAACCCAGAAUAAUAUAUAUUUCUUAUUUCAUAACUGGCCCUUGUUAUAUCAGGUGGAUUGAGAAAUAGGAAACUGGGCCUGCUAAGGGGUAUCAGUGUGAUGAACUACAAACCUCAGCUCGAGUCUCUCCCACUGGUAUUAACCCUACGGUCAGAACAAGGUUUUAAAAGUCAUAUUUUAUGGAUGCAUUCUAAAAUUGUGUAAACAUGGUGCAAUUGUCAACCCAUUGUUAACAAUGAUGUAAUAUUUACAGAGCAAGUGGCGUAGUACUUUGCACCACACUGUCAAUGAACAUGAAUAGGCUUUAGGGAAGUGCCAACAUGAAGAACUUAAGGAAAAUACAAGCAGUGGUUGGAGCCGGAUUCACGUUCACUUCAGAAACUACGAGAUUGUUUAUAAUCCACACUUGCUGAGAACAUUUCCAUACUAUGUUAAUUUCAGGUUGUUAAUCAAUAUUUAUUGUUCAUUCAAUAAUUGAAUUAACCCUGUUAUGAACUAUUUUUCUAAAUAAUGCAGACAUAAAUGUUCUAAACAUUGGUACAUGCGGGUAAUUUUAAUACAAUGUUCAAAUUGACAAUAUUUACAGACAUAAACCUGGUGGAGGAAAUAUUUGUUUAUUGCAUUCUAAACUGAGGAAACAUCGGUCUCAUGUUCUCAUUUAUUAUACUAACAUGUGUUUCUGCAGGAGUGAUUUGGACCUAGAAACACUAAACAAUCACAUCCUGGUGUAUGCUGCAAAAAGAUGAAUGAAAAAAUAAUCCAGAUAUGAUAACUUUGGUGGUGAUGGCCAAUUCGAGUGUUAGGAUUGUACAACUGUAUACAUUGGUGAUCCCCAUUCAGAAUGUAUUACAAGUAUUUGCCAAAACCAUAUCGUAAGAUUGGAACAAACAACAAAAAACACAAAUGCUACAGACAGUAAAAAAAGCAAUCUGGUGAAAUAGAUUACAAUAGUAAACUUUAAUUUUGAAAUUUACA